rnacentral:rRNA from 2 species
GCAUAUCAAUAAGCGGAGGAAAAGAAACCAACAGGGAUUGCCUUAGUAGCGGCGAGUGAAGCGGCAAAAGCUCAAAUUUGAAAUCUGGCACCUUCGGUGUCCGAGUUGUAAUUUGAAGAUUGUAACCUUGGGGUUGGCUCUUGUCUAUGUUUCUUGGAACAGGACGUCACAGAGGGUGAGAAUCCCGUGCGAUGAGAUGCCCAAUCCUAUGUAAGGUGCUUUCGAAGAGUCGAGUUGUUUGGGAAUGCAGCUCUAAGUGGGUGGUAAAUUCCAUCUAAAGCUAAAUAUUGGCGAGAGACCGAUAGCGAACAAGUACAGUGAUGGAAAGAUGAAAAGAACUUUGAAAAGAGAGUGAAAAAGUACGUGAAAUUGUUGAAAGGGAAGGGUUUGAGAUCAGACUCGAUAUUUUGUGAGCCUUGCCUUCGUGGCGGGGUGACCCGCAGCUUAUCGGGCCAGCAUCGGUUUGGGCGGUAGGAUAAUGGCGUAGGAAUGUGACUUUGCUUCGGUGAAGUGUUAUAGCCUGCGUUGAUGCUGCCUGCCUAGACCGAGGACUGCGAUUUUAUCAAGGAUGCUGGCAUAAUGAUCCCAAACCGCCCGUCUUGAAACACGGACC